AUUGAACGCUGGCGGCAUGCCUUACACAUGCAAGUCGAACGGCAGCACGGGUGCUUGCACCUGGUGGCGAGUGGCGAACGGGUGAGUAAUACAUCGGAACGUACCUUAUCGUGGGGAUAACGCAGCGAAAGUUGCGCUUAUACCGCAUACGCCCUGAGGGGGAAAGCGGGGGACCGUAAGGCCUCGCGCGAUUAGAGCGGCCGAUGUCUGAUUAGCUUGUUGGAGAGGUAAAAGCUCACCAAGGCGAUGAUCAGUAGCGGGUCUGAGAGGACGAUCAGCCACACUGGGACUGAGACACGGCCCAGACUCCUACGGGAGGCAGCAGUGGGGAAUUUUGGACAAUGGGGGCAACCCUGAUCCAGCAAUGCCGCGUGAGUGAAGAAGGCCUUCGGGUUGUAAAGCUCUUUUGUCAGGGAAGAAACAGCAGCUCUAACACAGUCUGCGAAUGACGGUACCUGAAGAAUAAGCACCGGCUAACUACGUGCCAGCCGCCGCGGUAA
rnacentral:rRNA from 1 species